rnacentral:rRNA from 1 species
CCUACGGGAGGCAGCAGUAAGGAAUAUUGGACAAUGCUCGCAAGAGUGAUCCAGCCAUGCCGCGUGCAGGAAGAAUGCCCUAUGGGUAGUAAACUGCUUUUGAACUAGAGAAAACCCCAGUACGUGUACUGGGCUGAUAGUAUAGUUAGAAUAAGCAUCGGCUAACUUCGUGCCAGCAGCCGCGGUAAGACGAAGGAUGCAAGCGUUAUCCGGAUUCAUUGGGUUUAAAGGGAGCGUAGGUGGACUGAUAAGUCAGUGGUGAAAUCUCCGAGCUUAACUCGGAAAUUGCCAUUGAUACUGUUGGUCUUGAGUACAGUUGCUGUGGGCGGAAUAUGACAUGUAGUGGUGAAAUACAUAGAGAUGUCAUAGAACACCGAUUGCGAAGGCAGCUCACAAAGCUGUAAACUGACACUGAGGCUCGAAAGUGCGGGGAUCAAACAGGAUUAGAUACCCUGGUAGUCCGCACCGUAAACGAUGAUUACUCGCUGCUAGGGGCGAACCUUAGUGGCUUAGCGAAAGAGAUAAGUAAUCCACCGUACGGAGGACGACCGGCGACGGACGAACGUAAAGUAAAGUAGUAGGACGNGAGAGAGCGACGGACGACACGACGGGAGGAGGAG